rnacentral:siRNA from 1 species
AUCUUGCCGACACGACUAUUCUAC